UUUCAGGCUUCCGUUGUGUGGCUUGGCGGCCUGCUGCUUCAUUCCCAUCAGAGGGCAAAGGCUGAAAGAGAAAGAAAUCUCCGUGACUGCUUCCGGAGGAAUGAGGGGGGAGCCAGGGCUGCCGCAGCUGUGCAUUCAGCAAGACUUCCUGGAACGUAAUGUCAUCAUGAGAUUGUCUCCAUGGCAGACCUGGAGUUCCAGUUGCAGUACUGGCAAAAUAUGGGGAUGGCAAGACAGAUGAAGUCCUGGUACUUAAUGUCUGUGAAGACAGAAGCAUUUUUACACCUUUGAAGGCUCUAGCUCCAUCCUCUCCUGUUUUCUUCCUCCUUCUUCCUCUUCAUCCUCCUCUCUACUCAAAAUCUGCCCCCUGUCCCCAUUUUACAGUUGUUAAACUUCCACGGUGGGUUCCCACCAAGCAUACUAAACUAGAUAUCUUGAGAAAUGCGAAAAUGUGUGUUGAGGUGAGAAUUUGGCACAUGGAUCAAGCCACCUCCCUCUCUAAGAUCAACCUGCCUCAAUGUACCCAUUGUUUCUUCAACAAUCCCUGUUGAAGACACUAUUCUUGGCUUCCCUGGUGGCUUAGUGGUAAAGAAUCUGCCUGCCAAUGCAGGAGACAUGGGUUCGAUCCCUGGUCCAGGAGGAUCCCACAUGCCACAGAACAGCUAAGCCUGUGCACCACAACCAUUAAGCCUGUGCUCCAGAGCCUGGGAGCCACAACCCCUGAAGCCCCCGAGCCCUGGAGCCCCUGCUCUGGAACGAGAGAAACCACUGCAGUGGGAAGCCUGCGCACCACAGCCAGAGAGUUGCCCCUGCUCGCAGCAAAUAGAGAAGAGCUCGCACAGCAGCGAAGACCCAGGACAGCCAAAAAUAAAAUAAAUAAUUUUUU